GAUGAACGCUGGCGGCGUGCCUAAUACAUGCAAGUCGAGCGAACAGACGAGGAGCUUGCUCCUCUGAUGUUAGCGGCGGACGGGUGAGUAACACGUGGAUAACCUACCUAUAAGACUGGGAUAACUUCGGGAAACCGGAGCUAAUACCGGAUAACAUGUUGAACCGCAUGGUUCAACAGUGAAAGACGGUCUUGCUGUCACUUAUAGAUGGAUCCGCGCCGCAUUAGCUAGUUGGUAAGGUAACGGCUUACCAAGGCAACGAUGCGUAGCCGACCUGAGAGGGUGAUCGGCCACAAUGGAACUGAGACACGGUCCAGACUCCUACGGGAGGCAGCAGUAGGGAAUCUUCCGCAAUGGGCGAAAGCCUGACGGAGCAACGCCGCGUGAGUGAAGAAGGUCUUCGGAUCGUAAAACUCUGUUAUUAGGGAAGAACAAAUGUGUAAGUAACUAUGCACGUCUUGACGGUACCUAAUCAGAAAGCCACGGCUAACUACGUG
rnacentral:rRNA from 1 species